rnacentral:lncRNA from 1 species
AUGGCUGCGCAGGGACAGCCCCAGGUCCAGUUCAAACUUGUAUUGGUUGGUGAUGGUGGUACUGGAAAAACGACUUUCAUGAAACAUCAUUUGACUGGUGAAUUUGAGAAGAAGUAUGUAGCCACCUUGGGUGUUGAGGUUCAUCCCCUAGUGUUCCAUACCAACAGAGGACCUGUUAAGUUCAAUGUAUGGGACACAGCCGGCCUGGAGAAAUUCAGUGGACUGAGAGAUGGCUAUUAUAUCCAAGCCCAGAGUACCAUCAUAGUGUUUGAUGUAACAUCGAGAGUUACUUACAAGAAUGUGCCUAACUGGCAUAGAGAUCUGGUAUGA